AAAACGACUCUCGGCAACGGAUAUCUCGGCUCUCGCAUCGAUGAAGAACGUAGCGAAAUGCGAUACUUGGUGUGAAUUGCAGAAUCCCGUGAACCAUCGAGUCUUUGAACGCAAGUUGCGCCCGAAGCCUUCGGGCCGAGGGCACGUCUGCCUGGGUGUCAUGCA
rnacentral:rRNA from 1 species